rnacentral:rRNA from 1 species
GGCGACGAUCUAUAGCUGGUCUGAGAGGACGAUCAGCCACACUGGGGCUGAGACACGGCCCAGACUCCUACGGGAGGCAGCAGUGGGGAAUAUUGCACAAUGGGCGGAAGCCUGAUGCAGCAAUACCGCGUGUGUGAAGAAGGCCUGCGGGUUGUAAAGCACUUUCAAUUGUGAGGAAAAGCUUAGGGUUAAUAACCCUGGGUCUUGACGUUAGCAAUACAAGAAGCACCGGCUAACUCCGUGCCAGCAGCCGCGGUAAUACGGAGGGUGCAAGCGUUAAUCGGAAUUACUGGGCGUAAAGAGUACGUAGGUGGUUUAUUAAGUCAGAUGUGAAAGCCCCGGGCUUAACCUGGGAACUGCAUUUGAUACUGGUAAACUAGAGUAUGGUAGAGGGGGGUAGAAUUUCUAGUGUAGCGGUGAAAUGCGUAGAUAUUAGAAGGAAUACCAGUGGCGAAGGCGGCCCCCUGGACCAAUACUGACACUGAGGUACGAAAGCGUGGGUAGCGAACAGGAUUAGAUACCCUGGUAGUCCACGCCGUAAACGAUGUCAACUAGCCGUUGGGACCUUGAGGUCUCAGUGGUGCAGCUAACGCGUGAAGUUGACCGCCUGGGGAGUACGGCCGCAAGGCUAAAACUCAAAUGAAUUGACGGGGGCCCGCACAAGCGGUGGAGCAUGUGGUUUAAUUCGAUGCAACGCGAAGAACCUUACCUACCCUUGACAUCAUCAGAACCUGUUAGAGAUAACUCGGUGCCUUCGGGAACUGAAUGACAGGUGCUGCAUGCCUGUCGUCAGCUCGUGUCGUGAGAUGUUGGGUUAAGUCCCGCAACGAGCGCAACCCUUAUCCUUAGUUGCCAGCGCGUAAUGGUGGGAACUCUAAGGAGACUGCCGGUGAUAAACCGGAGGAAGGUGGGGAUGACGUCAAGUCAUUAUGGCCCUUAUGGGUAGGGCUACACACGUGCUACAAUGGCCAGUACAGAGGGCAGCAAACUCGCGAGAGUAAGCAAAUCCCAGAAAGCUGGUCGUAGUCCGGAUUGGAGUCUGCAACUCGACUCCAUGAGGUUGGAAUCGCUAGUAAUCGCGAAUCAGAAUGUCGCGGUGAAUACGUUCCCGGGCCUUGUACACACCGCCCGUCACACCAUGGGAGUGGGCUGCAAAAGAAGUGGGUAGUUUAACCUUCGGGAGAACGCUCACCACUUUGUGGUUCAUGACUGGGGUGAAGUCGAAACAAGGUA